rnacentral:rRNA from 1 species
GUGAGAUGNACGCUGGCGGCAGGCCUAACACAUGCAAGUCGAACGGUAGCACAGAGAGCUUGCUCUCGGGUGACGAGUGGCGGACGGGUGAGUAAUGUCUGGGAAACUGCCUGAUGGAGGGGGAUAACUACUGGAAACGGUAGCUAAUACCGCAUAACGUCGCAAGACCAAAGAGGGGGACCUUCGGGCCUCUUGCCAUCAGAUGUGCCCAGAUGGGAUUAGCUAGUAGGUGGGGUAACGGCUCACCUAGGCGACGAUCCCUAGCUGGUCUGAGAGGAUGACCAGCCACACUGGAACUGAGACACGGUCCAGACUCCUACGGGAGGCAGCAGUGGGGAAUAUUGCACAAUGGGCGCAAGCCUGAUGCAGCCAUGCCGCGUGUAUGAAGAAGGCCUUCGGGUUGUAAAGUACUUUCAGCGGGGAGGAAGGUGUUGUGGUUAAUAACCACAGCAAUUGACGUUACCCGCAGAAGAAGCACCGGCUAACUCCGUGCCAGCAGCCGCGGUAAUACGGAGGGUGCAAGCGUUAAUCGGAAUUACUGGGCGUAAAGCGCACGCAGGCGGUCUGUCAAGUCGGAUGUGAAAUCCCCGGGCUCAACCUGGGAACUGCAUUCGAAACUGGCAGGCUAGAGUCUUGUAGAGGGGGGUAGAAUUCCAGGUGUAGCGGUGAAAUGCGUAGAGAUCUGGAGGAAUACCGGUGGCGAAGGCGGCCCCCUGGACAAAGACUGACGCUCAGGUGCGAAAGCGUGGGAGCAAACAGGAUA